GUGCAGGAAUAGUUAUGAAUCAGCUGAUGCAGUGCUGGUUUGUCGUUCCCCCUGCAUAAAUUAACUUGUUUCUUACUAUCCUUGACUGUCUGCAUCCCACGGCUUUCAGGGACGCUUGGUCUCAUACAU
ensembl:snoRNA SNORA63 Small nucleolar RNA SNORA63